ACUUUCCGAACCCUAGGUAGAAACCCUAGGGUACACACCAAAAACCCUGCGCCCACUUCUCUCUCCUUUUUCUCUUCUCUCGGUAAAUUUUGAACACUUCAAAAUUUUUCCAGAACCUCCCCACGCCCCUUAUCUUUUCUUUCUUUUUAUUGCCCAUGCCCCCUCCCUUUCUCAUUUUAUAAAACAUCGCAAGAGAUGUUGAAAGCGUGUGAGUGGAUAAGAAGAGGUGGUUGCUCACUUAAAUUAAAAUCAAAUUUGAAUUCAAGUGUCAACCAAUCUUAUCCUCAUCCAUUUGUGCGAGAAAGAAG
rnacentral:lncRNA from 1 species